AGUUUCUUUGCCUAACUCUGAGUUGCUUGAGUCACAUUUUUGCAUGGUUCUUGAUUGACUUUCUGGUGCUCUGCCUGGAGGUCUUUGCUUAUCUGUGAGUUGCCUGAGUCACAUUUUUACAUGGUUCUGGUGCUCUGCCUGCAGGUCAAGAAGGAGCCAGUAUCUCCAGGAGGAGUGAGAGAGUGCUCUGCCAGUGUGAAGUGUGAAUCCUUGAGAGGCUGUGGCAAGGGUCCAUGCCUGAAUGUGUAGAACAAGAACAGCUGGAGGCUGUGGCUUUCUCCAGGAAGAGGUUUCUAAAUCUGCCUCUUAGAAGAUAUCAGAAAGUUAAAGAUAAGAAAAUAGAGGCCUACAGAUUUCUGUAUUGUCCUUUAUCUACAUUGGGACCUGUACUUCCCUGUUUAGAAGCUCCUCUCUUCAGCUCUCUAUAUAUUAAAAUCCUAACCACCAAGGACUUAUAUAAAGAGAUUGAGUGGAUGUGUUAAAAGGGUAAAGCAGCUACGGCUUAGAAAGGCUGAGGAACUUGCCUGAGGCUAUCCAGCUACUGAGAGAUAAACUGGGGUGUGAAUUCAGAGAGCUUGACUCCUGAGGCUCCACCUGUGCCUAUAAUUCCAGCAUGACACCUGGUAAUGGGCACUCAGUAUAUGCUUGUUGAUCUAAACUCAGUGUGUGUGUGUGUGUCUGUGUGUGUCUGUGUGUGUGUGUGUGUGUGUGUGUGUGUGUGUGGUCUUCCUCUCACAUCCAAAGCUACUAGCACUGAGGAAGUUGGGCAUGGUGUAGGAAAGAGAAAUCUUUGCUGUUAAAUCUCAUUUCCAGCAUAACUGUCAAUGGAGAGGUGGCAUGGAAGGGACAACCAGUUCGUGUACCAAAUUACUCUCAGCUUGCUUGUUGUCUUAGGCAUAUGUUCUGGGAGUGGCCAACACCUGUUUUACAUCUGUGUUAGUCUUUGCGGAAUAAAAAGCAAAUUAGGGUUUAAUGGGGACUAUUAAUCUUGUCACCUAAUUGAGUAGAUCUAAUAAAUCUUUUCAUUCAAAACCCAAUGGGAAUUUCUAGUUGGAAAUGAGUGUGGGGAAUAUUCAAUCUCAAAAAUAUUUUCAUACACAAAGAUUAUAUAUGAGUUUGUGAAAGAUGUUGAAUAUUCAAUGAAAUUUAAUGAGUAUGAAUUGAACACUUAUCCUGGGCCUAGAACUGUUGGCAGUUGCUUUUGAGAGUUACAGAGUACAUUUAUGGUAAUUACUGCACUUACGAAUUUUGCUAUGUGGUUUGGGAGUAUCUGAAGUAUCUUAUAGUAGGUCUCUAAACUGGUAAUAAUAAAAAGUUCAAAUAUAUUAUUUUGUUACACUCCACGAGGAUCAAACUUCAUCAUGACAUGAUUAUAAUUUGAAAUAUGAGUAAGAAAUACGUAGGGUCAUGAUCUCUAUAAGCCCAUUCUUUGCUUCUUAAUUAAAUUUUGCAGCUGAUAGAAACAUUGAAAGCAGAGCAUUAGCUUAUAAAUAAUUCAGAAAAUGGUUGGUAACUCCCAUAGUAUAUGUUUUAUGAGUUUUGUUUAAGAAGAGUCUAUUUCGUGUUAGGUAAAGUUGGCCAUUGUUUAGAAUAAAGACCUGCAUUACUUUCUAUUCUAAAUUAAACUGUUAAUGGGAGUGCUUGCAAAGGCCUUGGUGCUUUUUUUUCUGUUUAAUAGGAGCAACAUCACUUUGGAUCAAUUAUUUAAUUUCCUUAUGUCAGAGUUCUUUCAAUUUAAAGGAAAAUAUUUCCUUUCCUCAUUCCUUUUUCUCUGAGGAUGAACCAGACAUUGGAAGUUGUAGCCUGGGAUUGUACUGGAGCUCUCACUGUGGUUGCAUUCUUUCUUCACAUUCAGCGUCCUCCUUAAAGCACACAUUUUCACGUACAUCUAUUAAAUUACCUGGGAGAGAGUUCUAGACACUAUCAGUCAGUAAAUCCAGUUGUCUCAUUUUUCAGUUUUAGCUAUUGUUGCGGUCAUAUGCCAAGGCUUGUAUGAAUGAAGGGUCUAUAAAAAUAUCUGCUGUGGUGUGAUUUUUUUUAUCCUUGUAUGAGACCAUAGCAUGAGACAGUAGACUGGCAAAUUGGCAGGGCGAGGAGAGUGUUUGUGCUUACACGGGGCAAUGAAAAGAGUUUUGAUUCUUCUUUAGCUAAAUGUUAU
rnacentral:lncRNA from 1 species